rnacentral:lncRNA from 1 species
AACGACCGCAACUACGAGCAAAGCCAGUGCAUCCAACACUGCUCCAGUGAAGGCCACUACGUUGAAAGCAACAACCGUCAAAACACCGGCCACCAGAACCACACAAUCAAAAACUACUUCAGUCAAAUCUGGCGUUACCAGGAAGGUCCCUACUGCCUCUACUUUAACAGCAGCUGCUGCUACUUCAUCUACUACUGCUGCUGCUAUUUCUACCAUUGCUACGAUUAUCACUCCUGCGACGGCUGGAGUGGACGUAACUAGAGCGAGGUAUGCCACGGCAGGUCAGAUCCGAUCCGUCCAAUACUCGAGCCUGAAGGAAGUCGUGAUCCAAGACAAUCCGAUACCAAGUUUGUCGAAGGAAGUCACGAAUGCACCCAAAGAAGCCGACAAGGAAGCGAUCAAAAUCAUAGACGUCGACAUGGAACCGAUAGAAAUCAGCAGCGGGACGGACUGCGAAGACGAGGGUGAGCAGAGGGUGUUGAAAAAUUCGGCUGCGGAAGCGCCAAGCAACAAAAUGGAUGCUGAUAAAGUAGUCACUGAAGACAAAACUCCAGAAGAAGUGGUUGGAAGUACGAACAAUACGGCAGGAAAAGAUAAUAUGAAAAAUCUGAAGAAGUUGGAGAGAAGAUUUCAAGCCAAGAAAAGGUUGAAAGCGCCAAAAACGUUCAACGAAAUUUGCAAGAAGAUGAUUCGAAUGUGACGAAAGAAAAGAAAAAAGAGUCUUCCCCGUUGACCGACGUCUCUACGGAACAAACCGAUUCAGGAGAAAAGACAGUCGUUGAAGGGUCUGAGAAAUUGGAGGUGGAGUUGAGCGCGCAGCAGCCGAAGGAAGAGUGCGCAGUUGCUAUAAAAGAAGAGAAUUCAACAGAGAAACUAGCAGAGUUGGCUGAAGUGACGCCACAGCGACACAAGGAGAGACGGUUGUAGAGGAGCAGGAGGUAAAGAUGGAAGGUUCAACCACGGAAGCUGAAAGAGUCCAAGAAACGUCAAAGGCAGAAGUGACCACAAAGCCUGCGGAAGCGACGAAGGCCAAAGCGACAAAGGCCGAUGCGACGCCAAACACAACCCAGAAAAUCCCUGUCCCACAGAGUCCGAGUGCAGAAGCAGCGGGGCCGUCUCUGACCGCGGGCGAGACUCUUCUGGAAAGACGACUCACCUAUAACAACUUCAAACCAAGUUGUCUUUCUCUGUCCUACAUCUUCGGACCGAAAUUCCUUCUGACUGAGAGAAACCUGGUUAUUUUAUCCAACCUCCCGAAGUACGAUCCUCAGGACCCUUACACCGAGGAGCAGCUGGUGAAGAAGCUCAAGCCAUUUGGUUUCAAACACGAACCGAGCAACAUCUACAUCGUCCCUCAGUGCAAGAUGGCUUUUAUCACGAUGCCCGACGGUCGAGCGAUUCUGAAGCUGGUGAAAGCGUUUGUGAGAAGGCCGUAUGCCAACGCGAUGUUCCAGGGCUAUCACCUUAUUCCCCACGUCAUCAACGAAGGAAUGGUCGUCAUGGCGCCGGCUUGGUUUUACUGGUAUGUGUCGCGGAUGUGCAAAUUUCACUGCGAAAACACCGCAGACAAACUGGUCUUCAUCACAGGUGUUUCUGACAGCGACGCUGUGGAACUCCGGAAAAAGCUGGAGAAGAUCGGAUCGGUCAAUAACUACCUGCCGCUGCUCAACAGGGUGUUUGUGGAGUUUGACUCAAGCCUCGACGCCGACAGACUCGGAGUUUACCACAGUCUCUUGAACAAAACUCCUUCGUUCGAACUCAUCCGGCUGCAGAUCCCGUUCUAUGAAGGCAAAACUCUGCCUCCAUCUCAGGCGAUCAGAGCCAUGCCCGAGGGUUCAGAGAGGGCUCCGGGAGUGGUUGUCCCAGGGUCGAGCUUCGGGAUCCCCUUCGGAAGCAUCGGUCCGUUCUGGGUCACCAUGACGAACAAACCUUACUUCUACCCCACCAGGGCCCCCUGGUUCAUCAUCCCAGAUACACUUGCCUUGCCAAUGAGGAAGACCCCCAAUCAGCGCUUCCACGCAUUAAAUAAAAGAACCAUCAUGCUGACGCGUUUGCCUCUGGGCGACUACACUCACGAGGACGUGGCCCGGCUGGUUUGGACCUUUCUCCUGGGCAGAAACCUCCACUGUCUGUACUACGACGUCAUCGUGCUGCCUCUGCAGCGACGAGCGUUUAUAAACUUCUACACGGGGAAAUGUGCACAAUUCGCGGAGAUGUUCUUCAACUACGGAGUGAUGCUGAAUGGGAUCCAGCUCCAGCCGCACUACAUCGACAACAGCCUGUUCCCGCUGUCGUCAGAGGAGCAAAUGUACGCCACUUUUAUGAAGAUGAGCAACAAUCGAGCCCCGGUGAAGCUCGAGCUGGCUCAGCGGUUAAUCAGCGUCUUCGUGACAGAAGUGUCUCUCGAUGUGUUCCGACUUGUCAUUGAAGUCGUAACGUCCGCCGCCCCCAUCCUCGGCUUCCUGCCUCUGGCCAACAGGAUUUGCGUGGAGAUGCCUGUUGUCAGUGACGUGGCAAAGGUGAAGAAGAAAUUUUCCACCUACAAACCCGACGUCGACUGGAAGGAAAAGCUCUGGAGUAAAAUCCUACAUUUAGAGACUGCGUCUGAGUUAAAACAGCGUAUUAAAGACUCUGGGAACACGGUGGUUCAACUCGAUCAACCUCCUGUCCCAACAUGGCCAGAAAAGUGUGCCAAAGUGGAAGCUGAAAACGGCAAAAAGGAACAGAAUACAGCUACGACGGAUAAAGAAACAGCCAUUGAUGAGAAAGAGGAGAACCCUCAGUCUGAAGGCACUACAGCGACGGAGGAGAACACGGAUCAGGCCACAGAGAAAUCAGAAACUAAAGACAAUGACCAAAAAGAGAAACCAGACUCACCCGCCUCCUCGGCUCCUCCUAAAGGGCAGGACCUGAAAAUCCAGACGUCAGCUGUUCGUGAGCCCAAACAGAACAAACUGCAGUCUUCGGACAGCGAGCAGGAGGACAAAAAGAGUCAGGCUUCAGAAGACUCCGCCACCCACGACGUCUCUUCCAGGGACUUCUCGUUCGAAGACAUGUCUGACUUCGUGAUGGUCGAUGAGAUUUCGGACGAAGGGGAAGAACGGAGCUCGAGUCACCACCACCACCAUCAGUCCUCCUCUUCCUCUUCGCGAAGGUCCUCAGAUUCGCGGCGGGAUCGGGAAAAGCCCAGCUCAUCCUAUGAUCGUCACCACAUGUCGUCUUCGCGGUCUUCGAGAGAUUCAGCGAAAGAUUCUUCGUCGACGGCUUCUAGUUCUAGAUCGAGUAAAGACGGUUUCAAAAGCCCCUCCAGCUCCACUCGUCUUCGCCCAGAAAACCCAGCGACUCGUCCAAAUCUCCGAAAUAUCAUUCUGCCUCGUCUUCCGGUAGUAGCCACCCCUCCUCUUCUCGGGAUAAGCAUUCGGAAAUAUCGGACUGCCAUAGCAAGGAUAAAGCGAAGGAGAGCGAAGCGGCAAAGUCCGGCCACAAGGGGUCGGACAAAGGUUCUUCUAGAUCGCAAGAGAAGGAAGCGAAAUCGAGACAAAGCUCAAACGUUCAGGAUUUAAAAGAUGCUGGUGAAAAAACUGCUGUAGCUGGUGGUGAUGGAUAUGAGGUUAUUGAUGAAAUUGAAAGCAUACAGGUUUUAGAUUCAGUUGACGACUCGACAAAAACGGUAGGAGAUGGAGUUGACUUGGAGGAAUCUUUUCAGGUGUUGGACAGUGUCACCGAAGAGCAAGCCAACAAAGAACCAACUGAUGAAAAGGUGCCUG